rnacentral:rRNA from 1 species
UACGAAGGUCCCAAGCGUUGUUCGGAAUCACUGGGCGUAAAGGGUGCGUAGGCGGCGCGGAAAGUCAGAUGUGAAAGCCCGGGGCUCAACCCCGGAACUGCAUCCGAUACUCCCGCGCUUGAGGGCCGGAGAGGAGUCUGGAAUUCACGGUGUAGCAGUGAAAUGCGUAGAUAUCGUGAGGAACACUAAUUGCGAAGGCAAGACUCUGGACGGUUCCUGACGCUGAGGCACGAAGGCCGGGGGAGCGAACAGG